rnacentral:rRNA from 1 species
UAAUACGAAGGGGGCAAGCGUUGUUCGGAAUUACUGGGCGUAAAGGGAGUGUAGGCGGAUGUGUAAGAUAGCGGUGAAAUGCCGGGGCUCAACCUCGGAAUUGCCAUUAUUACUACAUGUCUGGAAUUAUAGAGAGGAUAGUGGAAUACCCAGUGUAGAGGUGAAAUUCGUAGAUAUUGGGUAGAACACCAGUGGCGAAGGCGACUAUCUGGCUAUAUAUUGACGCUGAGGCUCGAAAGCAUGGGGAUCAAACAGG